GCGCAGCAGGCGAGAAACCUUCGCAAUGCAGGAAACUGCGACGAGGGAACUCCAAGUGCCUACGCUCAGCGUAGGCUGUUCUCAAGCCUAGAAAGCUUGAGGAGUAAGGGCUGGGUAAGACGGGGUGCCAUCUGUGGUAGCAGUUAAUAGAUUCGAUUUGUUACUGCAAGGCAUAAGCCGCCGCGGUAAUACCCGCAGCCCAAGUGGUGGCCGCUUUUAUGGGCCUAAAGCGUCCGUAGCCGGCCCGGUAAAUGCCUGGGUAAAUCGUGGAGCCCAACUUCACGAAUUCCGGGUAGACUGCCGAGCUCGGGGACCGGAAGAGGGAGAGGGGUACUUCAGGGGUAGGGGUGAAAAGUUUCCUUUCCAUUAACGCUUUUGCGCGAAGCGGAAAGGGUUAUCACAAUCCUGUAAUCCCUGGAGGACCA
rnacentral:rRNA from 1 species